GGCGCGGUAGCCAAGUGGUAAGGCUGAGGUCUGCAAAACCUCCAACACCGGUUCGAAUCCGGUCCGCGCCUCCA
rnacentral:tRNA from 2 species